AAUUCUUUUGUGAUGGCAGAGUCAUAUUUGGUCCGGACAUCAAGUCUAUCUUCCUCACAUUGUCCUAUGGAGGGGGAAUAAUUCUCAUAGUUUCAUCAGUUUUACUGACUGCAUAUAUCGUCGUUAUUCUCUUUCUCACUUCUGGAACUGAUCCUGGGAUUGUUCCCAGAAAUCCUCAACCUCCUGAUCUUGAUGAUGAUAGCUAUGGCUUAUACACAGUCUAUAUAUAUUUUUCUACCUGUGCAGAUCAAGUUCUCUAGUCGCAGCUUCUUAUCUCCUCCGCCAACACCUUGAACUUCUCUGGUCGAAAACAUGUCUUUUGCAGGUAUACUAAGAAGAGCCUUUGCUUGCUAGUGUCUCGUGUUACGUGGCAGAGACGUCGACCACCGAGCCGUUGGGAGAUCUCUAGUCGAGGUCGAUGGAUUGGUGACUUUGAUGGAAGGUGAGCAUGUAGGGCCGUUCAAUUUGGGUAAUCCAGGAGAGUUUACCAUGUUGGAGCUUGCUGAGGUUUGUCCUAUCCUGGAUAAUGUUUAUUCUCUUUUGAUGACAUUUCCUUCUAUUUUCGGUAAGGUUUUAUUUUUCUGCAAAGUUGAGGUUGUGAAAGAAACCAUCAAUCGCCUCAAUAGAAUUCACACCAAACACUGUUGAUGAUCCUCACAAGAGGAAGCCAGAUAUAAGCAAAGGAUCUUCUCAACUGGCAGCCCAAAGUUUAGUUACGAGAUGGAUUGCCUCGAAUGGUUGACGAUUUUAGAAACUGCAUCUUGAAUGAGGAUGAAGGAAAGGGAAACAAAUGAGUGGAUAUAGUGAUGCAGCAAAACCAGAUCUUCCACGACUACAUGAAUGGCAUUUAGAUAUGGGCUUGAUCGAGACGUGGAUGGAAAAACUAGAGGAGUCUGAGACCAAGCAGAGAAACAUGAUCAAAACAUCCAUUGUCAAUGUUUCUUUAAUUGUAAAACACUUGAUCCUUUCACGUUCCAUUUUAUACAUGGUUAAAUUAGUACUAUAAAUUGUUGUUAUGUUGGAGAUUGAACAUAUGAUAUUUUGUUAGAUUUUUAUGAAUUAUUAUAAUAUGAGAUUAUUCGAGGUUUA